UCGGGAAUUUUGCUCAAUGGGCGCAAGCCUGAAGCAGCAACGCCGCGUGCGGGAUGACGGCCUUCGGGUUGUAAACCGCUUUUACCAGGGACGAUAAUGACGGUACCUGAUGAAUAAGUCACGGCUAACUACGUGCCAGCAGCCGCGGUAAUACGUAGGUGACCAGCGUUGUCCGGAUUUACUGGGCGUAAAGAGCGCGCAGGCGGUCGUUCAAGUCGAGUGUGAAAGCCCCCGGCUCAACUGGGGAGGGUCACUCGAUACUGAUCGACUUGAAGGCAGGAGAGGGAAGCGGAAUUCCCGGUGUAGUGGUGAAAUGCGUAGAUAUCGGGAGGAACACCAGUGGCGAAGGCGGCUUCCUGGCCUGUUCUUGACGCUGAGGCGCGAAAGCUAGGGGAGCAAACG
rnacentral:rRNA from 1 species